rnacentral:rRNA from 1 species
UUGAAGCGUGCUUCUAAUCGUCCGCAAGGACAAUUACUUUGACUCUGGCCUGAAAUCAGGUAGGACUACCCGCUGAACUUAAGCAUAUCAAUAAGCGGAGGAAAAGAAACUAACAAGGAUUCCCCUAGUAACGGCGAGUGAAGCGGGAAGAGCUCAAAUUUGAAAUCUGGCAGUCUUCGAUUGUCCGAGUUGUAAUCUAUAGAGGCGUUUUCCGUGCCGGACCGUGUCCAAGUCUCCUGGAAAGGAGUAUCAAAGAGGGUGAUAAUCCCGUACUUAACACGACCACCGGUGCUCUGUGAUACGUCUUCUACGAGUCGAGUUGUUUGGGAAUGCAGCUCAAAAUGGGUGGUGAAUUCCAUCUAAAGCUAAAUAUUGGCGAGAGACCGAUAGCGAACAAGUACCGUGAGGGAAAGAUGAAAAGCACUUUGGAAAGAGAGUUAAACAGUACGUGAAAUUGUUGAAAGGGAAACGAUUGAAGUCAGUCGUGUUCUUUGGAUUCAGCCAGUUCUGCUGGUCUACUUCCUUGGAACGGGUCAACAUCAGUUUUGUCCGGUGGAUAAAGGUAGUAGGAAUGUGACUUCUCCGGAAGUGUUAUAGCCUAUUAUCACAUACACUGGGUGAGACUGAGGACUGCAGCUCGCCUUUAUGGCCGGCCUUCGGGCACGUUCGAGCUUAGGAUGUUGACAU